CGGCAACAGCUCAAAUUUGAAAUCUGCCCGCAAGGGCCGAGUUGUAAUUUGUAGAGGAUGUUUUGGGUACCGCCACGGUUUAAUUUUCUUGGAACAGGACGUCAUAGAGGGUGAGAAUCCCGUAUGUGACUGGGUGCCUUCGCCUAUGUGAAGCUCUUUCGAC
rnacentral:rRNA from 1 species